rnacentral:rRNA from 1 species
GUAGCAAUACCCCAGUGGCGAACGGGUGCGUAACACGUGAGGAACAUUCCUUCCGGUGGGGGAUAGCCGGCCUAACGGCCGGGUAAUACCGCAUACGCUGUUCGGGGUGCAUACCCUGGAUCGGAAAGCAGCAAUGCGCCGGAAAGGUGCCUCGCGGCCUAUCAGCUAGUUGGUGAGGUAAUGGCUCACCAAGGCGACGACGGGUAGCUGGUCUGAGAGGAUGGCCAGCCACAUUGGGACUGAGACACGGCCCAGACUCCUACGGGAGGCAGCAGUGGGGAAUCUUGCGCAAUGGGCGAAAGCCUGACGCAGCGACGCCGCGUGUGGGAUGACGGCCUUCGGG